GAUGAACGGCUGGGCGGCGUGCCUCAAACAUGCAAGUCGAGCGAAGGCUAUGAAUUACCGCAAGGUAAGGCAUAGCCUAGCGGCGAACGGGUGAGUAACACGUGGGUAACCUACCUGGAAGACAGGGAUAACGAUUCGAAAGGGUCGCUAAUACCUGAUAAUAUCCAUCUGCCGGAUGGCGGAGGGAAGAAAGGGGAAACCCGCUUUCAGAUGGGCCCGCGUCCCAUCAGCUAGUUGGUAAGGUAAAGGCUUACCAAGGCGACGACGGGUAGCCGGUCUGAGAGGAUGUACGGCCACACUGGGACUGAGAUACGGCCCAGACUCCUACGGGAGGCAGCAGUUGGGAAUCUUAGGCAAUGGACGAAAGUCUGACCUAGCGACGCCGCGUGAGGGAAGAAGGCCUUCGGGUUGUAAACCUCUGUCAUGGGGGAAGAAGGAAGUGACGGUACCCCAAGAGGAAGCCCCUGCUAACUACGUG
rnacentral:rRNA from 1 species